rnacentral:rRNA from 1 species
CGGAGGGGCUAGCGUUGUUCGGAAUUACUGGGCGUAAAGCGCACGUAGGCGGAUCGGACAGUUGGGGUGAAAUCCCGGGGCUCAACCCCGGAACUGCCUUCAAAACUACCGGUCUGGAGUUCGAGAGAGGUGAGUGGAAUUCCGAGUGUAGAGGUGAAAUUCGUAGAUAUUCGGAGGAACACCAGUGGCGAAGGCGGCUCACUGGCUCGAUACUGACGCUGAGGUGCGAAAGCGUGGGGAGCAAACAGGAUU